AUACGGAGGGUCCAAGCGUUAUCCGGAAUCAUUGGGUUUAAAGGGUCCGUAGGCGGGCAAUUAAGUCAGAGGUGAAAUCCCACAGCUCAACUGUGGAACUGCCUUUGAUACUGGUUGUCUUGAAUUAUAGUGAAGUAGAUAGAAUAUGUAGUGUAGCGGUGAAAUGCAUAGAUAUUACAUAGAAUACCGAUUGCGAAGGCAGUCUACUAACUGUAUAUUGACGCUGAUGGACGAAAGCGUGGGGAGCGAACAGGAGUAGAAACCCUAGUAGUCC
rnacentral:rRNA from 1 species